rnacentral:lncRNA from 1 species
GUAUAUGAAGCAAAACGUGGCCGAACCAAGGAGCGAGCUUCAGAAAUGCUGAGAAGAAAACCUAGCAAGAUCGAGGUCAAGGUGGAAGACAAGGAAGAACUCGAAGGAGCUCGCAAAUCCACCUCCACUUCCACCACCACCACCACCACCACCUCCGCCACCUCCACUCCCACUGCAUCUACCACUCUCCUCCACCACUUCGACCGCGCCAAAGACCCCUCCGCCAAACCCCAACGCAUCGGCCUCUCCUCCUAAACCUCAACCCUAAUCCAAUCCCCAAUGGAGGUCGAGGUCAAGAUCCGCCUCCCAGAUUCCUCCACCCACCGCGCCGU